GGUUCAAGUCUACUGAUUUUUUAGAAUACCUCAGCCACGUACAUCGUUGCACUUUCACUUGACACCUAUUGUAAUAACAGAUAGCUCAUCUUGACAUGAUCUUCUCUUGGGUGGAUGCUGUCAGCAAUUACUAGGCUACCCAAUGUUUAUUAACACUAGAUAGAGGUGCGUCUUACGUCAAGCACAUUAUUUGAUUUGAUAGUAUUGAAAAGUUUUCAUAAGAGGGUAUGCCAAAUUCUAUAGAAAAGGUGUACACAUCUAUGAAAUCCAUUUCCCUCGCAGAAGUAGAGAAGUCAACUUGUGAAGUAUUUUAUUUCUAUCAGUUUGCUAAGUUUCAAAGGGAUGCCUCAUCCUACACUAACAUAUACUACUUUAUCUGUUAAGAGCAGCUGAUAUAUUUUAAAGAAUCAUAUGAAAUAGUACCAAACUUAAUUGAAAGGGACAUCUUUAUUCUAAGUGGCUCUGCCACUCUCUACUCUGUAUUGAGCAUGAGUUUGUGUUUGCUUAUAAAUAACACCUUCUACUUACUCCUGAUUUUAUAACCAAAAAGAGCAAUGUAUACUGCAUCUGCAAUCAUGAACAUGAAAAGCCAUAUGUUUUUAAAAACUUACCCUUUGCUUUGCUCCUUGUUUCUCAGUUCCUUUGUGUAUGGCCAGCUUGACUACAAAUACUACGAUACCACUUGUCCUAACCUCACAAAAAUCGUUAGAAAUGCUGUCUGGUCUGCUAUUUCUAAUGACACCAGAAUGCCUGCUUCUCUUUUGCGCCUGCACUUCCAUUCGGAAUUCAGCCAGAGGAUAUGAAGUCAUUGAUGCAAUAAAAGCUAAUGUGGAGAAAGCUUGUCCAUCUACAGUUUCAUGUACUGAUAUAUUGACUCUAGCAGCUAGGGAAGCUAUUUAUCUUACUAGAGGACCCUUUUGGCCAGUGUGCUUGGGUCGUCGAGAUAGUCUUACUGCAAGUCAGAAUGCAGCUAAUGAUCAGCUUCCAUCACCUUUCGAGCCCUUAGUAAACAUUACUGCGAAAUUUGUUUCUAAGGGUCUUAAUGUAAAAGAUGUUGUGGUGCUUUCAGGUGCCCACACCCUUGGAUUUGCUCAAUGUUCCACGUUCAAGCGAAGGCUAUUUGAUUUUGAUGGAUCAGGCAAUCCUGAUCCAACACUGGAUUCAUCAUUACUAGGCAGUCUGCGAAGCGUAUGUCCCAACCAGAAAGAUUCAGAUUCCAACUUGGCUCCUCUGGAUGCAGUCUCAAUUAACAGGUUUGACAAUGUAUAUUUCAAGAACCUAAUGAAAAAUUCAGGGCUUCUAGAGUCAGAUCAAGCUCUCAUGAAUGACAAUACGACUGCUGCACUGGUGUCGAACUUCAGCAAGUAUCCAUAUCUUUUCUCCAAGGAGUUUGCCGCAUCAAUGGUUAAGCUGAUCAAUAUAGGUGUGCUUACAGGACAAAAUGGAGAGAUCAGAAAGAACUGUAGGGUGGUGAAUUAGAAAGUUCCAAUAUAUUGUGAGAUAAUUAGCUCUGCUACCAAAUAACCUAUUAUCAAUGCAUGUUUGAUGUAGUAUAAGAAAUCAUCUUGGACCUAGUUGAAAGUAAUUCACUGUCACAUUUUAUUUUAAUUUGACACUAGGUUAUUGGCGUAAAUCCAUUAAGCAAAGUUUAUUAAAUCUAAUAGUAAAAAUGUUAGUUA